UGGCGAACGGGUGAGUAACACGUGAGUAACCUGCCCCUCACUCUGGGAUAAGCGCUGGAAACGGCGUCUAAUACCGGAUACGACCUUCGGAGGCAUCUCCAGGAGGUGGAAAGAAUUUUGGUGAGGGAUGGACUCGCGGCCUAUCAGGUAGUUGGUGAGGUAAUGGCUCACCAAGCCGACGACGGGUAGCCGGCCUGAGAGGGUGACCGGCCACACUGGGACUGAGACACGGCCCAGACUCCUACGGGAGGCAGCAGUGGGGAAUAUUGCACAAUGGGCGAAAGCCUGAUGCAGCAACGCCGCGUGAGGGACGACGGCCUUCGGGUUGUAAACCUCUUUUAGUAGGGAAGAAGCGAAAGUGACGGUACCUGCAGAAAAAGCACCGGCUAACUACGUGCCAGCAGCCGCGGUAAUACGUAGGGUGCAAGCGUUGUCCGGAAUUAUUGGGCGUAAAGAGCUCGUAGGCGGUUUGUCGCGUCUGCUGUGAAAUCCGGAGGCUCAACCUCCGGCCUGCAGUGGGUACGGGCAGACUAGAGUGCGGUAGGGGAGAUUGGAAUUCCUGGUGUAGCGGUGGAAUGCGCAGAUAUCAGGAGGAACACCGAUGGCGAAGGCAGAUCUCUGGGCCGUAACUGACGCUGAGGAGCGAAAGCAUGGGGAGCGAACAGGAUUAGAUACCCUGGUAGUCCAUGCCGUAAACGUUGGGAACUAGAUGUAGGGACCAUUCCACGGUUUCUGUGUCGCAGCUAACGCAUUAAGUUCCCCGCCUGGGGAGUACGGCCGCAAGGCUAAAACUCAAAGGAAUUGACGGGGGCCCGCACAAGCGGCGGAGCAUGCGGAUUAAUUCGAUGCAACGCGAAGAACCUUACCAAGGCUUGACAUAUACCGGAAACCUACAGAAAUGUAGGCCCCGCAAGGUCGGUAUACAGAUGGUGCAUGGUUGUCGUCAGCUCGUGUCGUGAGAUGUUGGGUUAAGUCCCGCAACGAGCGCAACCCUCGUUCUAUGUUGCCAGCACGUAAUGGUGGGAACUCAUAGGAGACUGCCGGGGUCAACUCGGAGGAAGGUGGGGAUGACGUCAAAUCAUCAUGCCCCUUAUGUCUUGGGCUUCACGCAUGCUACAAUGGCCGGUACAAAGGGCUGCAAUACCGCAAGGUGGAGCGAAUCCCAAAAAGCCGGUCUCAGUUCGGAUUGAGGUCUGCAACUCGACCUCAUGAAGUCGGAGUCGCUAGUAAUCGCA
rnacentral:rRNA from 1 species